rnacentral:rRNA from 1 species
GAUGAACGCUGGCGGCGUGCCUAAUACAUGCAAGUAGAACGCUGAAGGAAGGAGCUUGCUCUUUCCGGAUGAGUUGCGAACGGGUGAGUAACGCGUAGGUAACCUGCCUGGUAGCGGGGGAUAACUAUUGGAAACGAUAGCUAAUACCGCAUAACAGUAGAUGUUGCAUGAUAUCUACUUAAAAGGUGCAAUUGCACCACUACCAGAUGGACCUGCGUUGUAUUAGCUAGUUGGUGAGGUAACGGCUCACCAAGGCGACGAUACAUAGCCGACCUGAGAGGGUGAUCGGCCACACUGGGACUGAGACACGGCCCAGACUCCUACGGGAGGCAGCAGUAGGGAAUCUUCGGCAAUGGACGGAAGUCUGACCGAGCAACGCCGCGUGAGUGAAGAAGGUUUUCGGAUCGUAAAGCUCUGUUGUAAGAGAAGAACGGGUGUGAGAGUGGAAAGUUCACACUGUGACGGUAUCUUACCAGAAAGGGACGGCUAACUACGUG